UUGCUAUAUUGAACACGCCUCUCUCCAGUUCACUUCUUCUCUGCGACUCCGUCUUUGUAACUCCACCUCUCCUGCGUUCAACAUCGACUCAUCUUCUUCGAAUCUUGACGCAGGGACAUAUAUAUACAUGAUGUUAAUUGGCCCCUCAGUGUCACCGGUUCUCUAAUCGGUGUCUCUGAUAGUGUGGGUGAUGGUGGGCUCAUUAUCGCAUAACACAUACAAGUUGUGGGGCAUUGGCAAUGGGCAUUGGAAUGUGUGGGUGUUGGUUUCAUUUCUGUUGGGAGGAAGGAAGAAGCAAACUCAGCAGAGCAGGUAAUCGAUUUGUUUCAUUGUGGUUCUGUGUGGUUUAUGUCUUGUUUAAAUUUCAAAAUCAGAAGCCAUUCAUUUUAGUUUAAUUGCAAUUUGCUUUAAUUUCGUGUAUUUCAUGUGGGUCUUUGAAUUGAGCCAUCUUCUUCUGGGCAUUGCAUUGAAGCAGAGAAGUAGGUCUAGGGAUUAGGGAUUAAUUAAUCACUCAACUCUUUGAACAAGGCUUUAAGGCUUUGAUGAUUUGACAUCUAUGUCACCAUGUUGGUGUGCUCUAGAGAGGCUAUAGGCGACAUCCUAGUUUAAUUCGAAUCAGGAAAUCAAACAUAACAACUAAUAUUCUAGAAAGUCGAGAGGCUUGACAUGAUUAAUUACGUUUCUGUGCAAGAUCAGUCCUUCGGACUUUAGGAUGAUCAGUUACCUCUCAUUGUCAUACUACCCAAUGAUGGCCAAAAUUACCUUAAAUCACAUGUGGAGGCUGCCCACAUUGCACCUUGGUUGAAGGAAUACAUGGUGCAUUCUGUGUCAUUCUUGUGAAGAUGCUUCGUCAUCAAAUUGCAGAAAAUAAUUUGAUUCACGGUUGAUUUUUUUAACAUAUAAAUUUUACCAGAAACAAACUUUCAUUGAAGGAAAAAGAAAAGAGUACAGAAACAGGAAACAAGGUGUCUUCCUGCCCAUAAGACCUGACUAGAAAUCUUUAUGAAGUUUAAAACAUUGCCAAAAAAAAAAAAAAAAACAUUCAAAACAGUACAGACUCUGAGACACUACAGCUUUCCAACAUAUUCAUGGUUGGAUCUGAAUAAAUUUUUUGAAUGCUUAUUCUUGUGUCUUUAAUACAAGAUUAUUUUUGACUUCGUUUUUGGUCCUUUUUUAGGAUGGAAAUUUAAGGACAUUGAUAAUUCAGAACCAUUCCCGAAACUAAUAGUGAACCAGUAAAAGUAGUCGUUGCUGAUAACCUCCCGAUAUAGGUUUUGCUUGCUUUUGCACAUUCUGAUAUAGUCAGGUAUUUUAUUUCCAAUUUGUUCUUACGAAACAAAUCAGAGGUGGUGAUCUUGGGGAUCUUAGCUAG